rnacentral:sRNA from 1 species
AUGUAUCCCCCCCCUACCUCGCGGUUCCUGCGUGCUGUCCGCGCCCAUCUGACAGCAACUGGCGACGUUUUGUUAGCC